UUGAAAGAUGGCUUCGGCUAUCACUUUUGGAUGGUCCCGCGGCGUAUUAGCUAGAUGGUGGGGUAACGGCUCACCAUGGCAAUGAUACGUAGCCGACCUGAGAGGGUAAUCGGCCACAUUGGGACUGAGACACGGCCCAAACUCCUACGGGAGGCAGCAGUAGGGAAUCUUCCACAAUGGACGAAAGUCUGAUGGAGCAACGCCGCGUGAGUGAAGAAGGGUUUCGGCUCGUAAAACUCUGUUGUUAAAGAAGAACAUAUCUGAGAGUAACUGUUCAGGUAUUGACGGUAUUUAACCAGAAAGCCACGGCUAACUACGUGCCAGCAGCCGCGGUAAUACGUAGGUGGCAAGCGUUGUCCGGAUUUAUUGGGCGUAAAGCGAGCGCAGGCGGUUUUUUAAGUCUGAUGUGAAAGCCUUCGGCUCAACCGAAGAAGUGCAUCGGAAACUGGGAAACUUGAGUGCAGAAGAGGACAGUGGAACUCCAUGUGUAGCGGUGAAAUGCGUAGAUAUAUGGAAGAACACCAGUGGCGAAGGCGGCUGUCUGGUCUGUAACUGACGCUGAGGCUCGAAAGUAUGGGUAGCAAACAGGAUUAGAUACCCUGGUAGUCCAUACCGUAAACGAUGAAUGCUAAGUGUUGGAGGGUUUCCGCCCUUCAGUGCUGCAGCUAACGCAUUAAGCAUUCCGCCUGGGGAGUACGGCCGCAAGGCUGAAACUCAAAGGAAUUGACGGGGGCCCGCACAAGCGGUGGAGCAUGUGGUUUAAUUCGAAGCUACGCGAAGAACCUUACCAGGUCUUGACAUACUAUGCAAAUCUAAGAGAUUAGACGUUCCCUUCGGGGACAUGGAUACAGGUGGUGCAUGGUUGUCGUCAGCUCGUGUCGUGAGAUGUUGGGUUAAGUCCCGCAACGAGCGCAACCCUUAUUAUCAGUUGCCAGCAUUAAGUUGGGCACUCUGGUGAGACUGCCGGUGACAAACCGGAGGAAGGUGGGGAUGACGUCAAAUCAUCAUGCCCCUUAUGACCUGGGCUACACACGUGCUACAAUGGAUGGUACAACGAGUUGCGAACUCGCGAGAGUAAGCUAAUCUCUUAAAGCCAUUCUCAGUUCGGAUUGUAGGCUGCAACUCGCCUACAUGAAGUCGGAAUCGCUAGUAAUCGCGGAUCAGCAUGCCGCGGUGAAUACGUUCCCGGGCCUUGUACACACCGCCCGUCACACCAUGAGAGUUUGUAACACCCAAAGUCGGUGGGGUAACCUUUUAGGAACCAGCCGCCU
rnacentral:rRNA from 1 species